rnacentral:rRNA from 1 species
UACGUAGGUGGCGAGCGUUGUCCGGAAUGACUGGGCGUAAAGGGAGCGUAGGUUGCGAUUUAAGUUAGGUGUGAAAGCCUGUAGCUUAACUACAGAAUUGCAUUUAAAACUGGAUUGCUAGAGUACAGGAGGGGUAAGCGGAAUUCCUAGUGUAGCGGUGGAAUGCGUAGAUAUUAGGAAGAACACCAGUGGCGAAGGCGGUUAACUGGACUGAAACUGACGCUGAGGCACGAAAGCGUGGGGAGCAAAUAGG